rnacentral:lncRNA from 1 species
ACUUUCCAUGAAUCUCUCGUCAAGGACCGAGAUUCAUGGCCUUCACCCCCACCCACAUCCUCUUGCCCCCUCUCUCUCCCUACAAAAACCCUUUGUUUCUCUCUCUAAAACGCCCACUUUUUUGUCACCAAGAACCCAUCUUUCCACCUCUGCACCCCACUACAAGCCAAGAAAUUUCAGGGUUUUCAAUGCCAAGCAAGCCUGGUUUCGAAACAAUGAGCAACAGGGGGUGAUCUACACCGAUGACUUGUCGGAAGACGGAGAGGUGUACAAAAGCACUCUGAGAUUAGUGGAGUGUUCUAUGUUUGCUGCACUUGGGGGAUUGAGUUAUAUUCUGAGUAGUUCUCUUGCAAUUGAGGUAGUUGAAAUGAAAUGGAAGUAGUUGUAUUGGUUUUCUUCGUUGCGGCAUUUUGUCGAAUGUUUGUGUGAUGUUAGUUCAGCUAAUUGACAUUUUAUUUUGUAUGAUAUAUAAUCUUUUAGUGUGUUUAUGUAAGUGCAAGUUAAAUUAGAUAAUACAUUUUGGUGAUUGGUAUUGGGGAAACUUGGCGAUUGGUAAUGUGACCAUCGAUUUUUAGAACUGUAAUCAGCGUUUGUAGGAAUUGCUAGGUGAAAUAAGUUGUAGUUCAAGUCACCUUUUAGCAUUGAUAAGGUGAUCGGGGAUUAAUUGGAGCUUAAUAGGAUGCAUAUUAAUAAUAAUUUUGGUUAAAAAAAUUUAAUGUGUAGUUUUAUAACCAAGGCCAGAUUUCCUCCCUUUUUUCUAGUAAGACGCUUAAUGGUCUUAUUAUCAUAGAAUAGGCCAAUUGUUAGACCAUGUGCUGUUGUGUGAUGAAUAUUUUUAUAUUUAGUUUAUGAAGAUUUAAUAUUGCAGUUAUGCUGAUAUACUUGAAAAUUGUAUAUAUGACAGAAUUAUUUUGGAUGUUUCUUCGCAUUGCCAAUAGUAUUCUCCUCUAUAAGAUGGGGUUUAGCUGCUGGAAGAAAAACUAUGGUUUGUAGAUACUGGUUUUUUUCUUUCCAGGAGAUUAAUUAUUGGUGGAAUAUUUACUGUAUAUUUAUGUUUAUGUAACAUCAUAUUAUCUUCACAAAUAUGCAGGUGGCAACUGCUAUACUGUUAUUUGUUUUAGCUGGUCCAUUAAAAGCUUUAACUUAUCUGGUAAGCAUUUCUUUCCUCAUCAAUAAUGCAGAACGGGUGUUGCUAAAAUGAAGAAGAGAUAUAUUAAGGGAUUUUGAGAUAAUCAGAUGUUAUUAAAGGCAACAGCCGUUUAGAUGAAAUUUGUCUCAUAAUCGAUGAUUCAUUAUAAUUAAGAAUGACCUCAUUAGAAUGAACUAAACUGUUUCUAAUCAAGCUCAAACCCUCAUACUUGAUCCCCUGAUCAGUCAGCUUCUUUGCUAUCUAAAAGCUCUGUUGUUCUGCUCUUGUUUCUCAGUAAAUUGUUGAUCACUCUAAUUGGUGAGCACUGACUUUCUUUGAUUCCCUCGGUGUACAGAAUUUUUAAAUUUAAUGAGAUGGAUCCUCUAGGCUCUAAGUUUGAUCUUCUUAUUUGUUUUGUUAGUAAUCUGUAUAGAAUAUGCUAGAACUGCUCUCGGAUUUUAUGAUCUAUCAUCUAAGUGACUUUACAGUUUGCAUGCUCUUGCAGUUGAUGUACGGGUUGCUAGGUCUUACUAUGGGUUCUUUGUGGAGGUAUGCACAGACAGCAUAACUGAACUUGUACUUGAACAUAUUGGUUGAUUAAGAUUUUGUGAAUGUUGUGGCAUGAUUAUUAUUCAUACCCUUUCUACAUAGUUUGGAUUGAUUUAUGAAAGUAAAAGUCAACUUGAUGUGUGUGCAGUUUAAAUAACUAGCUACAUUAGAAUAAUGUAAAAAGUUGCUNGUUCCGAAGAUUAUUCUUAACGAAGUUCCUGGCUGAGAAAGAUCGCUCUGUUAUUAUUGAUGAUUAUUAUCAUAAAGAAUAUGAUUUAGCAUUAAUCCUACUAUUCUUACUGCUAGUUUCAUUUCAACCUCAUUAUUUUCCACUUUUCCUGAGAAUAAAGUGAAAGGCAAUGAUGACCGUAGCAGAACUAAGAUAAUAAGUUCUUCAGAACUUCGAAAGCUGAUGAGAUUGGUGAAUGUUGAGGCUUUGAAGAUGAAGUUGUUGGGGGUAAUGAUCAGGAUAAUCAAGGCGAUAAAGAAGUGAUUACUUACACAGGUUUCUAGAACUAUGUCAAGGCUUAUUUGUUUACACAAACGAGUAAAAAAACAGAAGUGAGAAUCAGCUUCUGUUUCUUAAAAACAAACAAGCGCACAAUUUUCAUGUAGUUAAAUAUAUUAAUUAAAAAUUCAUUUAAUAGAUAUUUAAGAACAUAAAAAGUAUAUGUACGAUUGUUUACAAUUAUUACUGAGUUCGAACAAAAAAUCUCAAUAUAAUAUUCCAAAUGUUAUAUAUGAAAUAUUUUUGAUUAAAUCUUGUUCACUAUUUAGUAUUUUGAAUAAAAUUGGUGACUAUUAUGUAUGAUUAAAGUAUAUCUCAAUGAGUAUAUAUUAUUUUAAAGUAUAUUUAAAUGAGUAUAUUUUAUUUCGAUUAAUAUAUUGGAAUAUCUAAUAAUUAUUAAAAAUUAUCAUAAGAGAUAAUCCUUUGGUUCCUCUGGUCUCUUUACAUUGACUACGAAGGAUUUAGCACGGAUCGUAAGACUUUUAAAAAACAUAAUUUUAUAGAUUAUUUUAGAAAAAUCUCUAAAUACAGAUAUAAUAUUUUAUUUUUAUAAAAAAAUUAAAAAAAUAAAUUCUCAAACCAUAGUUCAUACAUCUUUUUAAGCUCAAGCACCGGAAAAUGAGAGGGCGGGGAGUACACUAGUAAAUACAAAUACAAUAUCCAUGAAAUUAAGUUUUUAUGUGCAAGUCUCUCUGGUGAAGAACACAUGUACACAAACUUCUAACUUUCCAUGAAUCUCUCGUCAAGGACCGAGAUUCAUGGCCUUCACCCCCACCCACAUCCUCUUGCCCCCUCUCUCUCCCUACAAAAACCCUUUGUUUCUCUCUCUAAAACGCCCACUUUUUUGUCACCAAGAACCCAUCUUUCCACCUCUGCACCCCACUACAAGCCAAGAAAUUUCAGGGUUUUCAAUGCCAAGCAAGCCUGGUUUCGAAACAAUGAGCAACAGGGGGUGAUCUACACCGAUGACUUGUCGGAAGACGGAGAGGUGUACAAAAGCACUCUGAGAUUAGUGGAGU